rnacentral:lncRNA from 1 species
CCUGGAAUACCCGCUGCCAUAACUGCGCCAGGAUCCAUCGGCUAUUUAAACCCCUCAGUCCCUUCGUGGUUUCAUCCUGGCGCUGCCCUUUCAUCUGAGAGUCCUGCUUCUCUCGCCCCAGUCCCUGUCUCCUUCCCUCACACCAUGUUCUCUACUCGGGGGGCUGUUCUUGAGGGAAUUUUCAGGGUUUGGAGGAAGGUGAGGAGGAGAAUGGCGGCCGGUGAGAAUUUCCGUCGUUCUAAAGGGAGCUCAAGGAAGAAUUUCUUCAACAACAGGGGUUUAAUAACGGGGGCGGUCGGUGAAGUU